AAACGAUGUCGACUUGGAGGUUGUGCCCUNGAGGCGUGGCUUCCGGAGCUAACGCGUUAAGUCGACCGCCUGGGGAGUACGGCCGCAAGGUUAAAACUCAAAUGAAUUGACGGGGGCCCGCACAAGCGGUGGAGCAUGUGGUUUAAUUCGAUGCAACGCGAAGAACCUUACCUACUCUUGACAUCCACGGAACUUGCCAGAGAUGGCUUGGUGCCUUCGGGAACCGUGAGACAGGUGCUGCAUGGCUGUCGUCAGCUCGUGUUGUGAAAUGUUGGGUUAAGUCCCGCAACGAGCGCAACCCUUAUCCUUUGUUGCCAGCACUUCGGGUGGGAACUUUAAGGAUACUGCCAGUGACAAACUGGAGGAAGGCGGGGACGACGUCAAGUCAUCAUGGCCCUUACGGCCAGGGCUACACACGUGCUACAAUGGUCGGUACAAAGGGUUGCUACACAGCGAUGUGAUGCUAAUCUCAAAAAGCCGAUCGUAGUCCGGAUUGGAGUCUGCAACUCGACUCCAUGAAGUCGGAAUCGCUAGUAAUCGCGGAUCAGAAUGCCGCGGUGAAUACGUUCCCGGGCCUUGUACACACCGCCCGUCACACCAUGGGAGUUUGUUGCACCAGAAGUAGGUAGUCUAACCGCAAGGAGGACGCUUACCACGGUGUGGCCGAUGACUGGGGUG
rnacentral:rRNA from 1 species